rnacentral:lncRNA from 1 species
UGGGAGACUCAAAACCCUGUUCAACUCUCUCUGGGCUAGCUGCUCCCCUCCCCAAGAGGAUUUCUCUCCAGAGCUGGUAUCAUCGCUUAAUGAUGUUCCACCAACAAGGGGAAGAUUCAGCCAUGUCUUCCUAGGAUCCAGCAUCCAAACCUGGACCAAAGUCCUCGGAUCCUCAGCAAUGGGGGUGCAUCUGGUGAUGGUGUUCAUGCUAAAUUUGUGCCAAGAGACACCUGUACUUGUGGGAGAAUUAAUAUUUCACUUCUGUUUAGGUUUCUUUUCUGGGAGCUGCUAUCACUGAAUACAUAAAGAAAUUGAGCCUAUAUGAUUUCAAUCUUCACCUUCUGAUGCUGAUGAAACAGGAUUCUAUGCAGAGAAAAUCCUCUCCAGUCAAGUAAUUGCAUCCAUUUCAUCUUCCCAGCCCUCCUCUAGAUGGGAGGUGGAGGUGUGUGUACCAAUCUCUUAAUUCAGAAAUGAGACAAGAGGAGGAAAAAGGAGUUCCGGAGGUGUGUGAUCCAAGUCUGGCUGCAGGCUAUGGACAUUCCAGGAGGGAGACUCCAUCAGAGAAGUGGAGCUGGAGUUGGGUGUUAGAGGGACAGUGGGGACCCCAGCCAGAGCCUGGGGACUUGGCUGCCUUGGAACCAGAACCUGGCCCCUCAGAGGAGUUGCAGAAUUUCGAUAGAGGAGUGGCAGGAGGUGUACUGGCUGAAGAGGAGGCCCAAGGAACUCCUUUUCAUACAUCAAAACUGAGCUUAUCACCUCUACCCUGAAGUCAUCCUGGACAUCACUGGUCCCAGUUAAUCACUCACUUAUCUUUGCCAUCCUUGACCUGGU